CAAUGAAAUUGAUCUCCCCGUGCAGAAGCGGGGAUAAUACCAUAAGACGAGAAGACCCUAUGGAGCUUUAGACGUCAGAGCAGCCCAUGUAAAGCACCCCUUAACAAAGGAAAAAACCAAAUGAAGCCUGCCCUAAUGUCUUUGGUUGGGGCGACCGCGGGGAAAUACAAAACCCCCAUGUGGAGUAGGAAUACACAUUCCUAAACCCAAGAGCUCCCGCUCUAAUGAACAGAAAUUCUGACCAAUAAGAUCCGGCACACGCCGAUCAACGGACCGAGUUACCCUAGGGAUAACAGCGCAAUCCCCUUAAAGAGCCCUUAUCGACAAGGGGGUUUACGACCUCGAUGUUGGAUCAGGACAUCCUAAUGGUGCAGCCGCUAUUAAGGGUUCGUUUGUUCAACG
rnacentral:rRNA from 1 species